CUGUGCAGCAGUGUGAUUCAGAGGAGGGGGGGUUGGUGGGGGCAGGCUGGGAGAGAAUCAAAGGAUUAUAUAAAAUAUUGUUUGAGAAAUAUAUCAAGGGGAUGAAUCUACAUGAAGGGGAAACAGCAUCUAUAUUCGCUGUAAAACGUUUCUCCGGUGGCGGACAUGCUGAUUUACUAUCGGUAGUGGUUUCUGGAUCUCUGCCAGUCCUAUAAGUAUGCGGGAGGCACUAGCUGUUUUUCCAGUUCCAUGCUGUCCUCAGAUGAACCGAGCGCUGCUGCCAAGAAUCCAGCACAGUUUACAGAAGGUAACUGGGUUAGAAGCCAACAGUGUAUUUCAGCGACAAAAAAAUCCUUCAGCAAAGGAAAGUGUGGACAUGGGCAACAUGAAGUUUCAAGCUGAUGUGGUGCCCAUGAAAACAACAGCCUGUACAGACAUACGUCUAGGAGGUGUGCCAGCUGCCUGACUGACAGGUCCCCCCAAAUCAACCACUCAACAAACGCAAGGCGGAAGAGGGGUUAAUGAAGUCCCACAUGACCACCACACCAGCAGCCAAUGACCAAGCAUCUAGAAGAUUCUCUGGCAUCUGGAAAACAUUCUUCUGUAAUGCAGGUUGAUAGUGAUACUGCAUGCCUAGAUUAUAACACAUUUUUAUAAUGACUCCAGUGGAACUGUUCAAACCAUAAAAAAUCUUUUCAGAUACUGAAGAACACUGACAAAAUAAUUUGCCUAUGUGAGAGGGUGUGUGGGCAGAGGGUCUGUGGGUCUUGUGUUUGUUUUGCUUCAGGAAUGUGUUACCAUACACAGAUAGAUCUCCAAGGGAGCAGCAUUUGCUCUUGUGGUUUUCUAUUCAAACUCUGGGCUUCCCAUCCCAGGUUAUCUCUCCCAUUGAUGGUAACAGCAGGACUGAUGGAGUGUCGUGCUAGAACGAGGGUGGCACACCGAUAAUGAUGUAAAUUCAAAGAAAUUCACAGUGACAGACUAGAUUAUUGGGGGCCUGUGGUCACAUGUUUUUGCUACAAAUUCUACACAGGAGAAACUGGCACCCUGGUAUUGCUCAGCCCAUGAAUGAAUAAAGUGUUUUGCACAUCA